rnacentral:lncRNA from 1 species
UACUGGUUCUUUCUCCCUGGGCUUAUAGUCCCACUGUGUUGAGUACCUUGUCUUCCUCUGUUCGGGUCACCUCCCUGUGCCACAAACAUCUACCUUCCAGGAAAGGAUCACAAACUGUAGGACUGAAGACUAGAUUUCAACCCAUAGAUGUCUAUGAUUUGGCCUGCUCUGUGUAUGUGUGUGUAUACACACACACACACACACACACACACACACACACACACACACUUAAAUGUAAAUGCCUUUGAAGGAGGGACCAGGCUCUCUGGUAUGUCAUGUUCCCUCAACCCUUCUGGUUGCCUCACCUUUGGCCUGCUUUGCUCAUUUCCCUUCAUGCCUGACAGCCACAGGCUUCUGUAUGUCUAAGCCCCACUGGAAGGAAAGAUGUAGGGGGUCUGGUCCACCAAGGGGCAGCAUCUGGACCAACAGGGCACUGGCUUUCUUCCUUGUCACAUCUUUCUCAUCCUUGCUCACAGCAGGAUGAGCGCUUGGAGAGAUGGCUGGCUUCCUACAGAAGGUUACCAAAAGACCAAGCUAUCUUCCCUUGAAAAUAAAACCCAAUUGCCUGUAUAUUAGAUUGAACUAUAUAAAAUUGUCCAUGUUCAACUUUGCCCUAUAAAGAUGACAAUUUCACAUGAUUCAACCUAUUAACAUGGCCCUGGCUUAGUCGCUAGUAGGACAAUGGUUCUCAGCCUUGGUUGCAAAUUAGAAUAAACUGGAGGUUUUAAAAAAUACCCUUGCUAGGACCUCACCACAAGACU